rnacentral:lncRNA from 1 species
GCGGCUUGUGUGCAAGGGACAGGGUGGGUGGUAGCGUACCGACUCGGAGGAUGGAGAGGGCGAGAAACGGUGAACGGAAAAGGGAAAGAAGUGGUAGGACGCGCGAGAGAGAAGGAACGACGCAGGGGGUUGAAACGGAAGAAAGAAAUGCGGCGCAGCAACCCUACCGUACUUGGUGUUAGUCGCGAUGGUAAUGGUGGUAGCUAGCAAUGCCGCUUUUCAAGGGGUUGGAGCGAGAUGAACAAGUGGAAGUUGCUUCAAGGAGGAAGCGAAGAAUACGGAGAA